rnacentral:misc_RNA from 1 species
GGAAGUAAAAGUCGUAACAAAGUUUCCGUAGGUGAACCUGCGGAAGGAUCAUUAACGAGUUAGGGUCUUCCAGGCCCGACCUCCCAACCCUAUGUUUAUUGAACCUCUGUUGCUUCGGCGGACCCGUCUCACGACCGCCGGAGGACCGCCGCGAGGCGUCCUCUGGCCAGCGUCCGCCGAUGGCCAACCACUUAAACUCUGAAUGAAUCGUGUCAUUAUGUCUAAGUCUAUGAUUAAAUUAAAGCAAAACUUUCAACAACGGAUCUCUUGGUUCUG